GACGAACGCUGGCGGCGUGCUUAACACAUGCAAGUCGAACGGAAAGGCCCUGCUUGCAGGGUACUCGAGUGGCGAACGGGUGAGUAACACGUGGGCGAUCUGCCCUGCACUUCGGGAUAAGCCUGGGAAACUGGGUCUAAUACCGGAUAGGAGCCAUUUUUAGUGUGAUGGUUGGAAAGUUUUUUCGGUGUAGGAUGAGCUCGCGGCCUAUCAGCUUGUUGGUGGGGUAAUGGCCUACCAAGGCGGCGACGGGUAGCCGGCCUGAGAGGGUGGACGGCCACAUUGGGACUGAGAUACGGCCCAGACUCCUACGGGAGGCAGCAGUGGGGAAUAUUGCACAAUGGGCGCAAGCCUGAUGCAGCGACGCCGCGUGGGGGAUGACGGCCUUCGGGUUGUAAACUCCUUUCGCUAGGGACGAAGCUUUUGUGACGGUACCUAGAUAAGAAGCACCGGCUAACUACGUG
rnacentral:rRNA from 1 species